rnacentral:miRNA from 1 species
ACAUCCCUACUUAUGAACCUAG